CGCUCAGACCCGUGCGACGGGAGUUGGAGGCAAGGCUUCAGGGCGGGAACGCAGCAGAGCACCUCCGACUCCCGGGCGCCGCGGGUAUCUGGGCGGAG
rnacentral:SRP_RNA from 1 species